rnacentral:rRNA from 1 species
AUUGAACGCUGGCGGCAAGCCUAACACAUGCAAGUCGAACGAGUGGCGGACGGGUGAGUAAUGUCUGAGAAACUGCCUGAUGGAGGGGAAUAACUACUGGAAACGGUAGCUAAUACCGCAUACCCACUGAUGUGCCGAGAUGGGAUUUGCUAGUUGGUGGGGUAAAGGCUCAACUAGUCGCCGAUCCCUAGCUGGUCUGAGAGGAUGACCAUCCACACUGGAACUGAGACACGGUCCAGACUCCUACGGGAGGCAGCAGUGGGGAAUAUUUCACAGUGGGCGCAAGCCUGAUGCAGCCAUGCCGCGUGUAUGAAGAAGGCCUUCGGGUUGUAAAGUACUUUCAGCGGGGAGGCGUUACCCGCAGAAGAGGCACCGGCUAACUCCGUGCCAGCAGCCGCGGUAAUAC